UACGUAGGGGGCAAGCGUUGUCCGGAAUUAUUGGGCGUAAGGCGCGCGCAGGCGGCUUUGUAAGUUUGGUGUUUAAGCUCGGAGCUCAACUCCGAUACGCAUCGAAAACUGCAAGGCUUGAGUGCAGAAGAGGAAAGUGGAAUUCCACGUGUAGCGGUGAAAUGCGUAGAGAUGUGGAGGAACACCAGUGGCGAAGGCGACUUUCUGGGCUGUAACUGACGCUGAGGCGCGAAAGCGUGGGGAGCAAACGGG
rnacentral:rRNA from 1 species